AUUGAACGCUGGCGGCAUGCCUUACACAUGCAAGUCGAACGGCAGCACGGGAGCAAUCCUGGUGGCGAGUGGCGAACGGGUGAGUAAUAUAUCGGAACGUGCCCAGUCGUGGGGAUAACGUAGCGAAAGCUACGCUAAUACCGCAUACGAUCUAUGGAUGAAAGCGGGGGAUCGCAAGACCUCGCGCGAUUGGAGCGGCCGAUAUCAGAUUAGGUAGUUGGUGAGGUAAAGGCUCACCAAGCCGACGAUCUGUAGCUGGUCUGAGAGGACGACCAGCCACACCGGGACUGAGACACGGCCCAGACUCCUACGGGAGGCAGCAGUGGGGAAUUUUGGACAAUGGGCGCAAGCCUGAUCCAGCAAUGCCGCGUGCAGGAUGAAGGCCUUCGGUGUAACUGCUUUGUACGGUAACG
rnacentral:rRNA from 1 species